AUUGUAUUACUUUUCUCAUUUGGAAGAGAAAGGAUGUUGAGAGAGUUAUGUGAGCUCUGGAUUUGUGGGUUGAGUGACCUCCAAAAUAUCACUGUUGUCAAGGAGGUGUCUGCAAUUCCAUGGUCCAGAGCGUUGAUUCAAGAUUCCUCACGAAGGAGAUAUUGACUGAGAGAAGGUUCCAAGCGAAGCAGAGGGCUUCAUCAGCAACCCAACUAUUCUAACUUGGUGUGAACAACCCCUUGCAACAUGUCCGUUAUGAUGAAUUCCAUCAGCUUGGUUGGUUUCUUUGCAGCCUCUUGAUUGGGCAUGUGUGCCAUAUGGACUUGAGUUAAAGCAAGUUCUGGAGAACUUUCAAGAUCAUCAAGGGUUGUUUCCUCCCUUGGGCGUGAAUAAAUGGCAAAUUGCUCCUCAAUUUCUGCACUAAUAUCCUCUUGAUCAUCAAAACUUUUCCCACAGUUUAAUGCUUGAAUAUGAAAUCCAUGAUUGAUUAUUUCUAUGUACAACUCAGUUGAUUCCAACAAUUUAGAGAGUUUGUUCUCUACCAAAAGCUCAUGGCACAUUAGACUGCUCAAAAUAGUGCUUAAGAUGCUUUUGCAAACUUGGGGGUAGAACUCUGAAUAUGGAUUGUUCCAAUUUCUUUUUGA